rnacentral:rRNA from 1 species
UACGUAGGGUGCAAGCGUUAAUCGGAAUUACUGGGCGUAAAGCGUGCGCAGGCGGUCCGUUAAGACAGAUGUGAAAUCCCCGGGCUUAACCUGGGAACUGCAUUUGUGACUGGCGGACUCGAGUAUGGCAGAGGGGGGUAGAAUUCCACGUGUAGCAGUGAAAUGCGUAGAGAUGUGGAGGAAUACCGAUGGCGAAGGCAGCCCCCUGGGCCAAUACUGACGCUCAUG